AUAGGCAUGCUCAAGAUGGCCUAUGUUAACGAUUCUUUGAUUCUCAAAGGACUCCAGUUACCCGAGGAACGGAAGGUUCGUGAAUUUCGGACGACUUCGGAAUCCAGGUAGGGGAUUCGGGGCCUUUCUCGGUUAGUAGUUUUCCCGUUUUAUAUAAAGUGAAGCAUGAUGCAUGUUAAAUUAUAUGGUAUGGUUAUGUUUAAAUGCAAUGCAUACUAACCAUUCCGUGAGAGAUAUCGUUGAUGGCUUGAGAGCGAAGGGUGGCUCUGACUUCCUUGGGUUCGAUCCCCAAAACCUCCUGAGGGUUAGCUACACCGGUCGGACGGUGCGCGAUCGUAAUGACGACCCGAUUCCGUGUGUGUAGCUAGGUAGCGGACGCUCUCGCUACGCUUACCUGGUUAUGAAUUGAUUUGAGGUAAGGUCGGGUAGUUGGUCUAUGGGACCGGCCAUCAGGUAUUGUUUUGGGCCCGUAUUUACUUGAAGUUCAUGUAUCGUAUUUUAUAUCGGAAAAUCAUUUAAGUUGUCGUUCUUAAAGAAAAUGCAUUUACAUAUGUUUUUAUACUGGCGCCACAAAAGUCUAUUUAAAAACCUAGCCGGGGUGAAGUCCCUAAUGAGCAGCGAGGUCGAAAGCUCACCCCUACAACAGUGUGGAUGCAGGUACUGUGCACUGGUGACGGGAUUGACGGACGGAGCGGGUGUGCGGAGUCAACUUCGGUAAAUGGUUGUAAUGGGAACAUGUUUCGAAGUUUAAUUAAUUCCAUUUCUUGAUUGUUUAGUGUUAUCUCAGAAGUAGUUGAUUGAUCAUUUAUUCUAAAUUCGAUUCUCGGAUAUGUCGAUUAUUUCUUGACUCCUUGUUGACUCAAGCUCUAGACGAACAAAUAUUUGAAAUAAAAGUUUUCAAGUUUUCACCUCAA